UGACCUCGGAUCAGUCGUGAUUACCCGCUUAACUUAAGCAUAUCACUAAACGGAUGAAAAUAAACUAACCUGGAUUCCCCUAGUAACGGUGAGUGAAGAGGGAAUAGCCCAGCACCGAAGCCUGUGGUUGGUUUACUGCUAGGCAAAGUGGUGUAGCGGUCGACUCGUGGGAUCGCCACUCCACUCGAAGUCCAUCACUGAGUAUGGUCCCCUUGAUUUGAACCAGAGAGGGUAAAAGCCCGUGCGAGUGGAGGUUCAGACAUGUGAGGCAAUUCACCAGGUCAACCUUCGAGUCAGGUUGUUUAGGAAUGCAACCCAAAUUGGGUGGUAAACUCCAUCCGACAGCGAACAAGUACCGUGAGGGAAAGUUGAAAAGCACUUUGAAGAGAGAGUAA
rnacentral:ncRNA from 1 species